rnacentral:rRNA from 1 species
GACGAACGCUGGCGGCGUGCUUAACACAUGCAAGUCGAACGGAAAGGCCCCAGCUUGCUGGGGUACUCGAGUGGCGAACGGGUGAGUAACACGUGGGUGAUCUGCCCUGCACUCUGGGAUAAGCCUGGGAAACUGGGUCUAAGACCGGAUAGGACCGUGCUUUAGUGUGUGCGGUGGAAAGUUUUUCGGUGCAGGAUGAGCCCGCGGCCUAUCAGCUUGUUGGUGGGGUAAUGGCCUACCAAGGCGGCGACGGGUAGCCGGCCUGAGAGGGUGUACGGCCACAUUGGGACUGAGACACGGCCCAGACUCCUACGGGAGGCAGCAGUGGGGAAUAUUGCACAAUGGGCGCAAGCCUGAUGCAGCGACGCCGCGUGGGGGAUGACGGCCUUCGGGUUGUAAACCCCUUUCGGCAGGGACGAAGCUUUUGUGACGGUACCUGAAUAAGAAGCACCGGCUAUCUACGUG